ACGGAGUGAAGCGGGGGAGAAAGGAGGAGAAAGAGAGAGAGGCGGUAGCAAGUGUCUCGCUGCUCUCCCAGUUGGGUUUCUGGGUCCCACUGGCCUUCGAGGAGCGGGGCUUUCCCAGGGGCUGGGGAGGGAGGGUGGGGCUUUGUUCAGAGCGAUGCCAUGCUCUCAGUCGAUCCAUCUUUCCCCGGAUAUGGCUAAUCCGCACAUUUCUCUUCCUGUGUGAUGUUACCAUCACUUUAUCAUAAAUGGGCUAUGAAGACAUUUGGAGCUGCUACUGUUGUAAUCUAUCCAAGAUGAAUAGGGCGAAGGCUGAAAUAAACUCCCCGUUUCCUGUCCCAUCUGUCUGCCAGACUGCGGGUCAGGGGCAUCCUCCCUCCAGGCUGGUAAUUGCAAAAAACGAAGCAACUGAACCCGAACUAGAAGAUCAAAGAGCUCAGGAGAUGAGGAGGAGGGGGAGGAACUUUUCUGAGAACAAACUGGCUACGGGGGCGAAGGCGAUUAGGGGAAACAACAACAACACACAAAAACCCCCAGCCUUCCUUCAUUGACACAGAGAAGGAGGGAGGGGGGGAGAGAGAGGAGAGAGAGAGAGAACGCUCACACACAUUUGGCAGAUGAAGUUUGCUCCUGGAUGGAGCAGGAUAACUAUGUGGGGAGGCUGGGGGACUUUGUAAGGUGGGAGGGUUUCAGGAGCUCUCCUUGUCCCCAUCCUCAUCGUGGCCUUCCUCUGACCUGCAGACUGUCUUUGCUACCUCAUUAGCUACACAAAAACAAAUCCUUCCGAUUCGGUACAGAGACACCAUCUCUCUCUCCCUCUCCUUUCCAGGACCGAUUUCAGAAACAGUCUAGGGCACACCAGGGUUGAGAGGAGCCACCCAGAGUGAUGCAGACUGUCCCAGCUCUCUAAACUGCCACCCAGACACACCGGUCCUGUCCCUAAAGGUCGGUCCUCCCCCACCACGUGGGAGAACCUUGUCACGGUCCUGGAAACCCUGCACUCAGGACUCCCUGGGCCACUCCAGGGCUCAGGCGGUCCGCUCCUUAAGGGACAGUGACUUGGGUCCAUUUUAUGUUCCCGCCCCCCCCCCCGGUGGGGAAGGACGGCAUUCGGGGGCGAGGGUCCCAUGCCUGGACCUUAUUCCUUGGGGUCUGACACUGGGUGACUCCCUAAUUACAUUUCAUAUUCAGAUGAAUGAAACUCUGCAACCAACUGAUGUUUUCCCCACAAUCGGCAAUAAAUCGCAGCCAGGGCGCGAACAGUGUUCACAUUCGCUCCUAUUAAUGCUUCCUGUCUCUGGACGCUGGGCCGGGUCCAGAUUCGCUGCACUACAAGGCUUCCUGCUGGAGGAGUGAGGCCUCUAGGCUGCGUUCCAGUUACAACUGGCAGCUAAUGCCUUCACACAUUCGCAAAUCCCAGGCCCGCCGGGGCAGGAGGCGGCGAGGUUUGCCUGGGGUCAGCAACUGCGGCACUGGCGGAAGCCCCUGGGAGGUGGUUCUGGCCCCCAGGCGGGGUGAGUGGAGCGGGGUCCGCACGGCCUCGCAGGCGCAGGUUGUUUCUCUCCCCUGGAUGCCUGUGGGGGUGGGGACGGCAGAGCCUCGGACACUGCCCGGGGAUCACUCUCAGGCUACUUUUCCCACCCUGCCAAGCUGCUCGAGACGUCAAAGGAGACCAGGCCGGUCAGCACACAGGCUUCUGGUAAGUGCCGCCCUCCGGUCUGGGAGCUCAGCUCUCCCCUUCUGACUCACCGCUCGGCGCUGACUCAUCGUGACGGCGAGUGGGGCUCCAGCUCCGCGGCAUUUCAUAGACAGCGCGGUCACAUUCCUUUCCAACAGUCGCUCUGGCCUCGAUGUCUAAGGCUCCGUGGGCAGCCGGCCUGUGGAUGAGGCGGCGGAAACCACAUCCUCUUCAUCAUCCUCUCACGAGGAAGGACACUGACAGCUUCGGAGAAGGCUGCCCAGUGUCUGCGGGUGCCCUUGGGAGAUGGCCUUGGGACACGGUGCCUGUGCCUGUGUGUGUACACCACGUGUGAACGCCAACUGGGAACACGGCCCCUUCGUAGGCAAACCCAGGCCUCCUGGAAGUCACAAGUUGAUAGCUGUACUCGCCCCUUUUGGAAGACGCACGCCCAAGGCACCCGUGUGUGCACACGUAUCCGUGUGUGGACCUCUGUCCACACGUGUGUGUUUUGAAAAGCCUUUCUCACCACAUGUUAGGAUCACAAGUGUUCAAAAUCUAGGCACACUUUUCAGAAGUUAUUUCUGGAAAAAAUGUUGAAUCUCAUAACAGCAAUAAAAGGAAAAUACCGCCUCAGCCAACAUAAAUGUCUCCUUGGAACAUGCCUGAAAAGCGGCGGAGUAUUUGUGUAAGUUUCAAUUCCAGCGUCAGAGCCUGCAGCUUGGCCGAGGCCGGGUUCUGCACAGGAGGGUGCACGGUCCCUUUCCGAAAGCCCCUCACCGGACUUCUGGGAACUCCCAACCCAUCCCGGGAACCCCACCUGCCGGCCCCGGAUCCGGAUGGGCUCCUGAUGUAUCCCACAGAGGGGAUGCCAACGUCAGACACCAGCAGGCUGGGGAGGAGCGGCUGUGAGGUGCAGCCGGCGGGUGGGCGGCCAGCCUCCAGGACAGACCUCGGAGGAGGCUGGGGGCUGCCUGCUGCCCUCGGGGCCCUGUGGUCCCACCACACCCGUGCCUGUCCCAGUGAUCCUCAUGUCACCGGCCCAGUGAGAGGCUGCUGCUACCAACCCCGCCAGCCUGCAGGCCGCUGAGUGCUGGGCUGCUCCUCCUCAGAGGAUGAGCGUGGGAAUAACCCAGUGGGGCGAGGAUGCUGACGGCGCCAUGGAUGUCCACUGAGGGCCCGAGAUGGGCCAGGCCGAGCUCUGUGCUUUGGAGUCAGAUCUCAUUUAAACCCAGCAGCACAUCCCAUUUCACACGUGGGAAGGUGGGGGAGUCAGGAUCAGAGAGCAGGGUGUCGCAUGGGGGAGCAGCCGGGCUGCGAUGUGAACCCUACAGUCUGCCCAUGAGCCGCACUCCUGGGCUGGACACUCCAGAGCCUUCUCAAGCAGCUUUCUUGGGGCUCCCUGAGCACCUGGCUGGAUGCUGCUGGUCUGGAACUCUGGACGGGGGCCCCGGGAGCUGACCUGCAAAGCUGUAGAGCGACUGUGAGGCACUGGCAGCUUUGCAGCCCCUCUGGACCCAGGGUGGGGUGGGCUGAGCAUCUGGCCUUCUGGGUCUAUCUGGGAGGCAGGGCUGUCUCAGAUCUGGGGCCUUCUGAGAAAGAUGUCGAACCCAAGCUUCCUUGGGGAAGGAGGCAGAUGGACCCCAGAUCACUCUCCUGGGUGUGAAAUCAGCUUUGGGGGUGCCUUCGGGGUCGGGCAGAACUGGGCUCACCCAGCUCUCGCCUUUUCUGGCUGUGUCACUUGGGUGAGCUCCUGAGCCUCUCUGUGCCUCGGUUUCCCUGUUGAUUAGGUCAGGCCAAGGAUUAAAUGAUGGCAAAGUCGUACCACGCUGGCUGGUUUUGGGCCUGUGGGGAUUCUUCAUCAUUUCUUCUCUUUCUCCUACUGCAGCUCCAGGCUACCCUGAGAUUUGCCUGCUGGGUCUGGGCUUCAUGGCGGGGCCAGAUUGGUGCCUCGGAGCAGAGGGCACAGGACAGAGCGGGCACCAAUGCACGGGCAGGUUUCCAGGCACUUUGGGAAGAAAUAAGAUCCCACCCAAGAACCUCUCCCCAACUCUGGCCUUGGCUCGUCCUGGUUGUUUCCAAAAGUGAAAGAAGGCAAAAGAGUGAGCCGAGGCCCACCGGGAACAACAACAAAGACCCGGCCUCGGAGUGGCGGCAGCGCCGCGGCCACUGCAGGAGAGCUCUGGUUUCUAUUAGUGGGAAGCGACGGCUCCGUCUCAGGACAGAGCUUGGGCCAUCAGCCCUCGGCGGGUUAACCCUUCCCCACCUCACUGCUCUCACAGGCAACAGGCACCCCUGAAGCUGGGAAGUCCUGGGGCCGGGUUCAGCUGAGGACUCCCUGCAUCCUGCCACCACCACCAACCAUGCUGGCGCUCACACACACACACACAUACGCACGCACACACGCACACACAUGCCUACACACACCCACACGUCUCACAGACACACACGCACACUCACAUGCAUGCACACGUGCCCACACAUGCCCACAUGUCUCACACACACGCAUGCCCACACAUGCACACACACUUAUAUGUGCACACAUAUGCACAAUCCACACCAGCACACACAUGCACAUACACAUACACACACACAGACAUGCAUGCACAUACACACCCAUACAUGCAAACACAUAUUCCUACACAGGGACACUCCACGCCAGGGCCAUGUCAUCUGAGGCCAAAUGAAGAGUUGGCAGAGGAGGAAGGCCUGGAGAGGUAGCGUGGAGGCCAGAGGAGGCCCUGGUUGAGACGUGCUUGCUGGUUUGGCAGGUGGAGGGACUUGGGGACCAAGUAACCCGGCUCGGUCAAACAUUCUCUCCCCAGGCACGGAUGCUGUGUCCCUGGGGAGCCCAACCUCCCCAAGUGGAGCUUGGCUGAGACCCCUCAGCAGCUCCGAGGGCCCCUGUGGGUUGUGAUGCCAGAAACAGGGCCAGAGCUCAGAGGAGGCACAGGGACUACGGUUUCCGUUGAAAGACGGCUCAGGGUCACCGGGCUCAGCAGAGGGAGGGCGCUUCAGGGGCGGUGACCGGGUCGCUUUAGGAAGAUGGGUGGGGGGCACUCGACUCCCAAGGCUGAGGGAGGGGAAAGGUGUGUGCACACUGCAGGCAUCCGGCCUUUGGGCCCCAGAGUGUGCCGGGCAGGUGUCAUCUCCAUUAACAGCUGCAGCCGCUGUGGAGGUGGCUGCCACCAUGAUACCCAUCGUACAGGUGAGGAGGUGGAGGUAGGAAGGGCGUGGCCUGUCUCAACCUGACAGGGAUGUGUGUAUGUGGCCACAUGUUGACUUUUUGUUUUAAAAUUUGGAUUCUACUGGGGAAAAAGAUUACAAUAAAGUGUCUGUGCUGCACCCAGGAAGGCAUGCCCACUGGGUAAGGCUCGGCACCAAGCGGCCUCUCACUGUGGGUCAGGCUCGCAUGGGGCGGGUGUGCCUGGCCCCUGUGUGAACCUGGAGCUGGCCAUGGGGAGAGGCUGCUCUGGGGCUUUUCAGAGAAUCCGUGGUUGAUUCCCUCAAGGACUCCCUCAAGGGGGCCACGCUCCUCCUCCCUGGGUCCCCUCCCUGGCCCCCACCCUUCCCUUUCUCAGGUCCUCCCUCUGACAGUGGCUGUAGCCCUCUGCUCCUAGCCCAGGGCAGCCCUGGCCUCUGGAGUCACAGUCAUGUGUUCAAGUCUCGGCCCCUUUCCCAAGGUGAGCUGGUCCUGCAGGGAUGCGGGAAGUGUCAGAAUAUGAAAACAACCAGGACAAGGACAGCUCAGCUUACCCCGCUCCAGCACCUUCUCCAGGUCAAGCACUUGGCCAGCCCUGUAGCAGCCUCCUCAUUCCAUCUCUCUGGUGUUUUACAGAUGAGAAAUGAGCACAGAGAGGUUAGGAGCAUUGUCCAGUGCCACAGAGCUGGCAUGUGCUUGUCUGGGCUGAGAACUCUAUGAAGCCUUGGAAAUGCUCCCCACAUAUGGAGCAGUGUGUUCAGGCCCCAUGGCCUGACCGGGAGCAGGAGGGAAGGACAGGCUCAGGUCUCGCAUCCCGGGAAGAAUUUCUCCUCAGUGCACCAGGGAAUAUCGCCUGACGACGGAAUCAGGUUUCUUUCCCCAUGACCCCUCCACCAUUAGUGUUCCCAGAAAGCCAGGGGCUGCUGUGCCCAGAGGAGGUGCACCCUGGGAGCCCUGCCUGCAGGACGGGAAGCAGAGCCCCCUCAGAACAGAAACUAGGAACAGAGGAGGGACAAGGGAGGGAGGGCAGAAGGUCCGGUGCCCUCAGUUUCUAUCCAUCCUUGGGUCGGAAACCUGGGAUGGAAUGAGUGAGGAGCUGGGUCCACAGGGACAGGAACUGGGGGAUACCAGGGGCUAGGGCUGCUCAUCCUUUCCCAAGGAGGAGCCAGGGAAAAAUUAAGCUCAUAGGGAAUGUCGGGUUCACCGGGCCUGGCGGACUCCAGAUCCCAGAGGCAGGGCACCCACACAUCUCUCACCGGCACGCACCAGGGCCCCGAUAGCCGGGCACCAUCAUGGCGAAUUACAUUACAUUGCAUUACCCGGGGACCACUAUCAUGACCACGUUGGGAGAGGAAACUGAGGCACUAAGCUGCCAAAGUCACGCAGCCCACAACACUGGAAGGCAAAGCAGCCGUCUGGACCCCAGAACUGGAGCUGUCCCCUCACUGGGCGAAACCCAGAACCCAGUGUUUGCUUCUUUCUCAGAGUAGCAAGAAGACAUGGCAGAGCUGCCCUCAGGCUGGAGGCUUGCAAGCCGGAGGCGCACCACUGUCUAAGCAAACCAGGCACGAGGAAACGCAUUCGCAAGCCUGAGAAGAUGAGUGGCCAUCACUGGCAUCACCGAAAUGGCCUCCUCAACCGGACGGGAAGAAUCCCUCCCCCAGCUGACUCCCCGAGAUGCUCCAUGCCCCACGUUCCUGACCUCCUAGGGGAAGGAGCAGGAGGAACCCAAGGCCAUCAGAGGGGCCUGGACUGUGGGUGCUGCCAAGUCUGUAGGUGACCCGGUGACCAUCCCGGUUUGCAGGGGACCAAGAUUCUUUCUGGGAUGUGGUGCUUUCAGUGGCAACAAGAAGAGCCCCCUCGGCAGCCCUGGCAAUCCAGGACAGUGGGUCGCCCCCGCACGGCCUGACGCUGUGGCGUGGAGUCUCCAGCGGGGCAGCACUGGGUUGGAGGAGGGAGGAUGCUGCCAGCAUCACGGGGAGGUCACAUGCCAGACACUGGUGUCUGAUUUCCCCUUGAGAGAGGUUUCAUCACUGCCCCGUCCUUGGAAAGGGUCACCCAGUCAGACUACAGAGCCAGGACCAUGAUCCAAAGCUGAGCAGUGCCCACCAAAGACAGUGUUCCCAGUGCUCAGGAGCCCUUGGGCCUUUAUAAGGUGUCUACCGUGGGACUAAAAAAACACCUGUCCCCAGGUGACAGCAUGCUGCCUUUGAAACACAGCUCUGUGAGAACACACCUGGCAAAGGCAGUCUUGGGGGCCACGCGGCAGGGACCCCUUUCCUUUACCAACUCUCACAGGCUGAGCCGCUCUUGCUGUGAAUGUACGUGGCCUUGGUAUGUUCUCCAGCAAGAUUAUAAGUGGAGGAUGGAGUCAGCUGGGAAGCGAGGCUCAGAUCAAGGAGGGCUACUACCAGGAUCCCUGCAGAAACAGGGACACAGGGAGAGAUGGCUGUAAAAUCCUUGAGCUUUAAGGGGUAAGCUCAUGGAGCCCUGAAAAAUAUGACUGCAUUGCAAAUGCCAACUUGUAGACACAAAUAUCGUGGAAGCAGGCCACGUUCAGCCUUGCACACUGUGCGCUCUUCCAUGACUGAGAACGUUAGUCACCUGCACCCUGACCAACCUCUCAUCCCUGAAGCCUGCUGGGAGGUGUCUGGGGACAGGAACGAAAAUUUACAAUGUUCUUUGGUUGUUUAAUUUUGAAUUUUCUCCCUCAUUAUUAUUGAAACUGAAACAUCUAAGAGGACACCCAGAUUUAUCUGAAACCGGAAGAUGACACGUAUGAAGGAUCAAGCAUUCAUCACAAACACAGGCAGGCGAAGGAGACCAAAACACAGCUAGGACCAUGCCAAGCGUCGGUGAUGAUGUGGAGAAAUGGGGACCUGCCAGACACUGCUGGUGGGGAGGUGACAUGGUGCAGCCACUAUGGAAAAUAGUCCAGCAGUUCCUCGAAAUGGAAAGCAGGAGUCCCAUGACCCAGCAGUUCCAUUUUCAAGGAAGUCCCCAAGAGAAAUAGAAACUUACGUCUUCACAAAAGCUUGAAAAUACACAUUCAUAGCAGCAUGAUUCAUAACAUCAAAAAGCAGAAACAGCCCAAAUGCCCAUCAGUGGAUGGAUGGAUAAGCACAAUGUGGCCCCUCCAUACGACACAAUAUUACUCAGCCAUAAGAACGAGUGAGGUAGCGGCACAGGCCACAAAGUGGGCGAACCUGGGAACCACGGGACUGAGUGGAAGGAGCCAGUCACAAAAGGUCAUGGGCUGUCUGAAUCCAUUCAUUUGAAUUUCCAGACUAGGCAAAUCCACAGAGACAGAAAGUGGGUUGGUGGUUGCAGUGGCUGGGGGCAGGGGGACAUGGGGAGAGUGCGGAGUGAGUACUAAUAGGUGUGUGGUUUCUUUUUUCAGUGAUAAAAAUGUACUAAAAUUUAUUGUGAUGGUUGCACAAGUCUGUGGCUGAAAACCACUGAAUUGUACGUUUUAAUGGGGUGCAUUGUUUGCGUGUGAAUCACAUCUCAAUAAAGCUGUUUUUAAAAUGCAAUUAUUGCACAAUGCAAA
rnacentral:lncRNA from 1 species